CGCAGACAAGCUUGUGGCGCUCUUUGUUAUCCUAAGACAUAUUUUCUAAACACAACCCUUACAAGAAACACAAAGAUCAUGUAAAGAAUUUCCCGAAACUGUAGUACAUUGAAUAUACCAACCCAUGUGUGCACUUUUUAAUGGACUUUAAAGGUAACAAGCUCAAGGAAUGGUUUUACAAAGCUCUAUAUGAAUCAACUAAUUUAAAGACAACCUCAAUUUAAGACAGCCACCCCAAUGUUGAUCAGAAAUGUCAAUUUAGACACUCUGAUGCACAAUAGCUGCCACCUGUCAAAGUUUUUGACGUCCAUACAGAAAUUAGAAGGCAAAGAGGAACAGCGGUAGACAGUCAUUAAUUGAAACAGACCCAAGAUAUCAAACAAGCUUCUAAGGACAAAUCCACAAACAACAUUAAUGCACUGCUAGCGCUGACAACAUUGGUCCCAAAAGUGUCGAAAUCGUACUUGGCUAGAAUGACAGUAUUGCUCUUAAAGCCGACUGGAAGACAAGCUAUGGGAACAAGAAUGCRUGCCUGUUCAAAGGUGAAAAGUUUAUUUUUUAAUCAAUUAGCAGUUUUGGUUUCGUUCUUUGUUCUUCGUUCUUUCACUGGAAAACAACGAGACGGUCAGAUCAUCCUCCUCACAUCGUUGCGUUAAUGGCAGGAUUCACGCCAUCAUUUAGUAUCUGAGUAUAUAGAGUUUGCUUUUUGGUUCUCUCUUGUUUUUGAGGAUUUUCUUCAAGUUUUCCGUUUUUGUUCCCUCCACAAUCAACACUACAGAAUUCCAACUCAACCACUAGGCCAAAGCAGGUUUGUUUGCCACAACUAUUGUUACCGUCACAAAAGCAAAUAAGAUUUUCGCUCUUUUUUAUCAGUAAGGCAACACGUUAAAAAAAGUGCCGGCGUCUAUCAGGAGAUUUUUUAUCCACGUUGGACUGGGAGUCUAGCGAAGUCGCGGUCUACUCUUCAUCACCGACUUAGGCUACAAACACACGGUGUAACCAUAGUUAAUGGAAAAAUAAAAACAUAGAACAAUGGGUUUCCCAACCAUUCCGCUCCAUUAACUAUGGUGUUACAUUACUCGCAAUAUAAUGUUGAAGCCAAACCAUAAUGCGAGCCAUGUCGCAUGUUGCACGCAAUGCUGCUAAAGUUGAAUUCAAUCACUGUCUGCAACAUUAAGCGCAACGUUACACUGUGUAUCUGUUAAGCAAGAUUAUAUAUAUUACAUUAAAACUAGGUCCAAACAAGUGAAUGUCGAAAAUCCAAUGGCUUAUUGAAAAACAAUAAAUCCUCUUACGUUUUA